GACCUAAUAGCGAAAUUGGCAUCGUGUCCACUGCACUUAGACAUCCGCAAGUACAUGAGUCAAGGUGGAAGUCCCUCGUUCGAACCGAGGUUAGGUCG